AUUGAACGCUGGCGGCAUGCCUUACACAUGCAAGUCGAACGGCAGCACGGGAGCAAUCCUGGUGGCGAGUGGCGAACGGGUGAGUAAUGUAUCGGAACGUGCCCAGUCGUGGGGGAUAACGCAGCGAAAGCUAUGCUAAUACCGCAUACGAUCUAUGGAUGAAAGCGGGGGAUCGCAAGACCUCGCGCGAUUGGAGCGGCCGAUAUCAGAUUAGCUAGUUGGUGGGGUAAAAGCUUACCAAGGCGACGAUCUGUAGCUGGUCUGAGAGGACGCCCAGCCACACUGGAACUGAGACACGGUCCAGACUCCUACGGGAGGCAGCAGUGGGGAAUUUUGGACAAUGGGCGCAAGCCUGAUCCAGCAAUGCCGCGUGCAGGAUGAAGGCCUUCGGGUUGUAAACUGCUUUUGUACGGAGCGAAAAGGCUCUCUCUAAUACAGGGGGCUCAUGACGGUACCGUAAGAAUAAGCACCGGCUAACUACGUGCCAGCCGCCGCCGUAA
rnacentral:rRNA from 1 species